rnacentral:tRNA from 1 species
GGCGGAGUGCUAGAGUGGUGAAUAGGUGUGACUCGAAUCCUCCACGAUAUCACAUGGCUUCGGCCGCGCAGGUUCGAAUCCUGUCUCCGUCG